AACGAACGCUGGCGGCAUGCCUAACACAUGCAAGUCGCACGGGCCCUUCUGUUCUUGUCGCGCACGUGUGCAUCGCGCAUGGAAAUCUGCCCUUGUGUUCGACAUCCCCCCCCGACUGGGGCUCUUAUCCCGUAUAAUCUCUUCGCCCCAACGGUUUAUCGCCUUUGGAUGGGCCCGCGUUGGAUUAGCUAGUUGGUAGGGUAAAAGCCUACCAAGGCGACGAUCCAUAGCUGGUCUGAGAGGAUGACCAGCCACACUGGGACUGAGACACGGCCCAGACUCCUACGGGAGGCAGCAGUGGGGAAUAUUGGACAAUGGGCGAAAGCCUGAUCCAGCAAUGCCGCGUGAGUGAAGAAGGUCUUAGGGUCGUAAAGCCCUUUUGCCGGGGACGAUAAUGACAGUACCGGGAGAAUAAGCCCCGGCUAACUUCGUG
rnacentral:rRNA from 1 species